rfam:Aedes albopictus isolate Foshan contig104744, whole genome shotgun sequence.
UGCCCAGCAACUCCUAUCCCUACUUCUGCGUGGUACCUGCUGGAAUCUACGAGCAACUUUAUGGAAGAUCGGGUAAUCAAUCCCAGUAAGAACUUUGGUCGUAGGCUGACAUGGAAGG